ensembl:lncRNA
GGGCAAGAGGAGGGGAACAACGAAAAGAAUCCCCGACCCAAGUGGAGCGGCCGCGGUGCAGCGGGUGAGGCGGCGCCGACGAGCGCCCGCAUCGAUCUUCCCUUUCCACGGACCGCUCGGAUGGCCGCUGACCCCGGGUAAACUUUCAGCGUACGCACUGUGGCGAAGGAUGUCUGUGCUUUAACUCAGCGCUGUGUCAAAACCCGCACCUCCGUCUGGUACCGUUGGUGGUGAAGGAUUGGUCCUUUUUCCUUCUCGUGCCUCUCACGUUUGUAUAAACGCACCGUUUUUCCUCAUCUUAUGGGAAACUGAUCUCGCCACGUGUUUGUUUGUUUGGUUUUGAGAGUGGAUCGUUUAGAACGCUUACGUUUAGAAUCAGGACGCUGAGAGGUGGGAUUGCCCACAGAGGUGGCUCACCUCUGUCAGGAGCUGUGCAGGCUCCCGCUCCCUCCUCCUGGCAGGGGCUGUAUGUACAGG